CGAAAACAGGGGAGAAAGGAAAGAAAAAGAAAAAGGGAAGGAAAGAAAGAGAAUUUGGGAUUUCAAGGUUCAAGGUUCAAGGUUUGAUUGCUAGCAUCGUACCGGAAUUCUCGACAAAAAGAGGAAAAAUAUAGUUGACGAGGAAUAGCUCGGAAUUCUUAGUUAAGUACUUAAGUUUGAUCGCUGAUUCAGCAUCCAACAACGAUCCCGAACUCAGAUAUGGUGAUGUUUAUUUCUUUGUGUUGGCAUGUACCUAGGGUGUCUAAAUAUUAGUUAUUUUGUGGUUUGAUUGUAAAUGAAGUUAUAAAAUCUAUUUUGGAGAGUUUAUAAUUUGGAUUAAAAUGAUGCUUUGAUGACUUGUUUUG